GAUCGCAGUCUGCAACUCGACUGCGUGAAGUCGGAAUCGCUAGUAAUCGCGGAUCAGCAUGCCGCGGUGAAUACGUUCCCGGGCCUUGUACACACCGCCCGUCACACCAUGAGAGUCGGGAACACCCGAAGUCCGUAGCCUAACCGCAAGGAGGGCGCGGCCGAAGGUGGGUUCGAUAAUUGGGGUGAAGUCGUAACAAGGUAGC
rnacentral:rRNA from 1 species